rnacentral:lncRNA from 1 species
ACAGAAGAAGAAAGAAGCAACAAAGUUUUUUAGCUUCAUUCUAUGAACUGACAAUAAUAGGUGAACAGGGCAGUUUGUUUGAGUUUUAAACGUUUAUUCCCUCUUCACUGAUAACUAGUUACAUUAUAAGCAGCCAGUCACCAGGUUACACGGUCACCGGUUGAUGCACAACAAUGGGUUAGACUUUAUUAGCUGAGUGAGGAUUUUUUGCCCUAAACUUGAAGAAUCUGAGAUUAUUAACAUGUCCACAGAGAAAACGUCUGAUGUUGCCUUCAACCACAAACAUCACAACAGAUUAGGCUUUAUGGACCACAGCGCUGUCCUGGAUGUGGAUCCACAACACGGGUCUUUGAUCCACAAAGCAAGAAUCAAGGCUGAGGACAGUCCCACCACAACAGGUUAGAGAUCAAAUAUCAAUCAUUAAAGCGAUGUUUAGGACACAAUGAGAAAAAUCAGUCAUAGCUCUAACUUAUUCUCUCAGGUCAGAGAAAAAACAGAAAAC